rnacentral:rRNA from 1 species
CCUACGGUGGGCAGCAGUCGAGAAUCAUUCACAAUGGGGGAAACCCUGAUGGUGCGACGCCGCGUGGGGGAAUGAAGGUCUUCGGAUUGUAAACCCCUGUCAUGUGGGAGCAAAUUAAAAAGAUAGUACCACAAGAGGAAGAGACGGCUAACUCUGUGCCAGCAGCCGCGGUCAGUCAGAGGUCUCAAGCGUUGUUCGGAAUCACUGGGCGUAAAGCGUGCGUAGGCUGUUUCGUAAGUCGUGUGUGAAAGGCGCGGGCUCAACCCGCGGACGGCACAUGAUACUGCGAGACUAGAGUAAUGGAGGGGGAACCGGAAUGCUCGGUGUAGGAGUGAAAUGCGUAGAUAUCGAGAGGAACACUCGUGGCGAAGGCGGGUUCCUGGACAUUAACUGACGCUGAGGCACGAAGGCCAGGGGAGCGAAAGGGAUUAGAUACCCGGGUAGUC